rfam:Cavia porcellus supercont2_110 genomic scaffold, whole genome shotgun sequence.
UUUGCUUCUCGGCCUUUUGGCUAAGAUCAAGUGUAGUAUAUGUUCUUAUCAGUUUAAAAUAUUCACUUUAAAUAUUAGCACUUUAUUCAUAAUUUAUACAAAGCAAGACACGAU